rnacentral:rRNA from 1 species
GUCCUUUAGAAUUAAUAAUUUAAGGUCUAACCUGCCCACUGAAAUAUUUUAAAUGGCCGCAGUAAAUUGACUGUGCAAAGGUAGCAUAAUCAUUAGUUUUUUAAUUAAAAGCUUGUAUGAAUGGUUUGACGAAAUAAAAUCUGUCUCUAAAUAAUAAUAAGAAUUUAAUUUUUAAGUUAAAAAGCUUAAAUAUAAUUAAAAGACGAGAAGACCCUAUAGAUCUUUAUAUUAGAUUUUAUAUUAUUAUUUAGGAUUUGUUUAAUUCUACUAUAUUAUUUAUUAUUUUAUUGGGGUAAUAGAAAGAUUAAAUAAAUUCUUUUUAAAUUUUUACAUAGAUAAUUGUUUAAAUGAUCCUUUAUUAAAGAUAAUAAGAUUAAGUUACCUUAGGGAUAACAGCGUAAUUUUUUUGGAGAGUUCAUAUCGAUAAAAAAGUUUGCGACCUCGAUGUUGGAUUAAAAAUUAUUCCAGGUGUAGAAGUUUGGAAAUUUUGGUCUGUUCGACCAUUAAAUUUUUACAUGAUCUGAGUUCAGACCGGUGUAAGCCAGGUCGGUUUCUAUCUUUAUUUAAUUAUUAUAUUUUAGUACGAAAGGACCAAAUAUAGAAUAUAUUAAUAUUUAAAUUUUGAAUAU